CAACAGAGCUUUCUUUUGGAGAAACACUAUUAUUAUGGGGCUGUACACGCGGUAGAAAAAUUACGCCAAUCUGUUGAGAUAUGGUGUGCGACAAGUGAAUAUUUGAAACAAGAAAUGAAUUCAAAUUUUCGUAUAACGGAACCUUCUAAUCUAGUCUAUCUAAUGUCUUUUUCAGGAGCCAGAGGAAAUGCAUCUCAAGUACACCAAUUAGUAGGUAUGAGAGGAUUAAUAUCGGACCCUCAAGGACAAAUGAUUGAUUUACCUAUUCAAAACAAUUUAUGCGAGGGACUUUCUUUGACAGAAUAUAUAAUUUCCUGCUAUGGAGCCCGCAAAGGGGUUGUAGAUACUGAUGUGCAAACAGCAUAUGCUGGAUAUCUUACAUGUAGGCUUGUUGAAGUAGUUAAACAUAUUAUUGUGCCUAGAAGAGAUUGUGGUACUAUCCGAGGUAUUUCUGUAAGUCCUCAAAAUGGGAUGAUGGAAAAACUUUUUGUCCAAACACUAAUUGGUCGUGUAUUGGCAGAUGAUAUAUAUAUAUCGGUUCACGAUGCAUUGCCGCGCGAAAUCAAGAUAUUGGAAUUGGAUUAG
rnacentral:rRNA from 1 species